GGGUCUGUAGCAUAAAGGUAAUGCAGCGUCCUCAUAAGACGUACUAUUUUGGUUCGAAUCCAUUCAGACCCACCA
rnacentral:tRNA from 1 species